rnacentral:lncRNA from 1 species
UUUGUCUAAAGUGCUUUAGACAAUGCAAUGGUUGCUACAACAUUCAUGAGUACUCAUAAGGGCUGAGUAUUGGAUUCAACCCACGCUCACUUGCAUCACUUCAUGGAAUUUAUCUCGAGUGAUCGUGAGACGGUAAUAUCAUAUAAAUCUUCAAACCUAGAGAUAUGAGUUGUUGACUAUGAGUUGGUUAUUCAUUGAUUGUACGAAAACGCAUUGGUAACUCGAUGUUAUAAAACGUGCCUUUGUGAAUAAUUCAACAAGUAGUUAGUACAAGCAUAUCAGUCGAAGUUUAUCUGUUCCUUCUAGAAAUAGAAGCGAUAUCUGGGCCCCUCGAUGAUUUGGUUUUGACCUAUGUACCGGGCCCGGUCAGAACCUAAUUGAUGUGUUCAAUUUAGUUCUAUGUCGAAACAAAUCGGAGAUCGAGAAACAAAUGUUGGACAAUAAGUAAGACCAUNUCACGGAAAUGAAAGGCCAUGUUAUCUAGGGUUUACAUGGUGUAACCCUAACUAUAUAAGCAUCUUAUUCUUGACCAAAAUCGGCCACUAGUGAGAGUAAGAAAGGGCUAGCCGAUUUCAUGAAGUGUAGAUUUCUCUCAAGUUAUUCCAAGUGUAUUUGGUGUUGUGUGAACCAUUUGAGGUGUCACACUUGGGGCACUUGGCACUCAAGCUUCAUGAAGACUUUCUACAUGAAAGAGGUAUGUAUUCUAUCUUGUUAUAUUCAUUCUUUAAUAUGCUAGAUUAGGAUAAUACCUUGGAUGUUCAUAUUUGUAUGUAUAAUAGAGAAAACAUAGAUCCAAGGUAUUUAGGGUUGCAUGUACACUUAGGAGUGUUAGAAUGCUCAAAACCCAACGGUAAUAUCAUAUAAAUCUUCAAACCUAGAGAUAUGAGUUGUUGACUAUGAGUUGGUUAUCCAUUGAUUGUACGAAAACGCAUCGGUAACUCGAUGUUAUAAAAUGUGCCUUUAUGAAUAAUUCAACAAGUAGUUAGUACAAGCAUAUCAGUCGAAGUUUAUCUGUUCCUAUGUUGAAACAAAUCGAAGAUCGAGAAACAAAUGUUGGACAAUAAGUAAGACCAUGUUCCAUGUGUUUGUCCGGCUGAUAUCAUGAGAGCAGAGGAUUAUAUGAUCACUUAUCUUAAAUGGCGUAUCAUCAUCAUCUCAGUUUUGAGAGACUUUGAAAGAGCUACGAUUGCUAGUCGGAUUUUUGAGGUCAUAUUUGGAAAUAUAGUUAUUACACUUAUCCAAGUGGGAGACUGUUGGAUAUAGUGUCUAAGUCCAUAACUUUAUUUGGUAUGUACUUGACGCGACCUGGCAUGGUCCAUUUGGGUUGCAUGGCAUUGCAAUACUUGGAUAGACUAAAUGAGAGAAUAUGACACUUAUGAUUAUUAAUAUAUUAUAAGUUCUAAUAUAUUAAUAAUAGUGUUAUUUAAUUAGUAUUCAUCAAGUAUUAAUCUAGUAUUAAUUUGGUGACCAAGUUGAAACUAAUUAAAUAUAUGGGGUUGAUUAUGACAAUUAUCUAAACUUUUAUAGUGGAUAAAAGGAUCCAUGGUUUACGGGUUAUGGAUAUAACUAUUUGGAGCUCCAUGGAUAGUCCAUGGAAGUUACAAACUCAUGGGUCAUGAGAAUGGAAGAGUUAUGACAAUUAUGAGUCUUCAUGAUGAAACCCUAAUUGUGACACCACUAUAAAAGGGACCCCAUGGCUAGGAAAAUCAGGCACUAGAGUAUUCUUGUGAGGGCAUAGCCGAUUUUGAAGUGUAGAAGUAUUCUCUCUAGUUAUUCCAGGUUUUGUGGUGUUGUGUGAAGCAUUUGAGGCACAACAUUUGGGGUGAUAGGCUCACAAAGUCUUGAAGGAAUCCAAGCAACCACAAGGUAUGUA